UCCUAUUGGGAUAUGCUGCUGUAGACACA
rnacentral:piRNA from 1 species